GGCCUGUUAGCUCAGUUGGUUGAGCGUGGUGCUGAUAAUGCCAAGGUCGCGGGUUCGAUCCCCGUUCAGUCCC
rnacentral:tRNA from 1 species